AAGAGAGAAUCAAGAUGGAGGCAGAGAAGGACGACCCAUCCGUGUGGCCGUAAGUGACCACAGGUAAUUAUGAAUAUUUCUUAAGGGAUGGAUUUCUAUAGGUCAAUUUAUCUUAUCUAGGUAGGCGGAAUAUAUCAUUAUCAGUUGGUUGUGAGUUUAUUGUAUGGAUGUAUUGUGGGUUAAGAAUUUAACAUAUAAAUCUGAUGGCAAAAUUACAAGCAUCCAGAGCUUUGAUUUUACCGGGUUGCUGGGAGUUGAUAUUAUAACCAUUAGGGGGUGGAUGUUGGGAACAUAUACAGAGCAGAGACCUGCGAGAGCUGCAAGAGGGUAGCUGCUGCUGGGACGGGGGGUUGGGGUGCGUGUGACACGAUUGCUGGGAAUGUGAGUAGUCUCCAGUAAGAGAGCUGAGAGAUACGCAGUCUCCAUAUGAAACUGGCAUGGUGGCAACAACCCACCUUGGGAACUAAAUGCAUGGAGAGAUUGCUGCUGGGCUCUAAGAGUAGCUUUCAGCAGUAUGAGAUGGGAUGGAGCUUAGUGGGUGAGAUGCUCUACUGAUUGAGGUGAAGAUACCCGGAGAUGCCAUGUGGCCUAAUGGUGAGGGCCAGCGAGGGUCUGAAACAAGAAAUACUUGAAUGCUCACGUUAUUUAAAUCAUUCACAAUUGACAAGAAAUAGAAGCAAUGGCCACUAGCAAAUGAAUGGAUAAUUCAACAGGCAGACAGACAGACAGACAGUCACAUGUACACAAUUACUCUGAUAUAGAAAAGGGGAAACCCUGGCAUAUAUUAGACUGCAGUGAGCACUAAAAUCAUUACUUUGCUGAAAAGGACAAUUGGAACAAGCCAGUCCCAAUGAGUCUGAUGGUGCAAGCCGGCAAUCCUUAACCCAGGAAGCUGAGGCAGCAGGAUCACAGUGAAUUUGAGCCAAUCUGGAGUCUUGCUCAGGUCUACACCAGCUGUCUGGAAACUAACAGGCUGUGUUAAACUGCGAUCAAACUGAUCUCCGAGUCAUGAUCCUUCUGCCUCAGCCUCCCAAACGCUAGGGUUACAGGGAUGGAGACGCUGCAGCCAGCUGUUGAUGAGCACUGAACAACAAUCUUGCCAAGAGAUCGAGUCAUCCAGUGUGAGGUGGCUUGAAUAUUUCGAAAGUGCCAUUUUACCCAGUGUGGCCAGUCACGCGAACAUACAUCACCCAACACGCCCACAUUUUGGUUGUUUCUUUAAAUAAAUAAUAAAAAAGGCUUCAUUUUCAUCUUUAACAGUAA